CUAGGCAUUACAGUAAAAGCAUUCAGUGCUACAUUUUCACUUUCAAUUCUCUAUUUUGAGUGAAGGUGUCAAAAUUGACUCUUAACAAAUCCCUGAAGCUCUGGAAUCCUGCAGCUGGAAAUGCGGCACCCAAAGACAUGGCAUGCAGAGUGGAAAUAGUCCCGCGUGAGGUUGGGAGUCCACAGUGUCGGGAGAAUUGGGUUCUCAUGUUGGCAUUACUGCAAAUUUGUUAUAGGCUUAGAGGAAGUUACGACUGUCACCUGCUGGACACUUCACUGACAUGCAGAAACCCAGGGCAAGAGGAACGCAUUCUACCAUCAAGGGGGCCACAGAUUACCCAACCUGUAUUUCUCUCUGAUAUCUGUUCACUUAUUUUAAAAUAAAAAUAUUUUUGUACUGCUUGAAUUUUGUGAAAGCUUUACAUAAAACAGCCUCUAUGCAGUUCUACACCUGAAAGAUAACCAUUAUUAACUGUUGGCAUUUACCUUCAGACUUUUAAUGCAUAUGUUAAUUUUAAUAUAAAUGGGAUCAUUCUGUAUGUUGUUUAAUAUCCUCAAACAAUAUAGCAUACUUCUUUCCA
rnacentral:lncRNA from 1 species